AAGAAUUUAAGUUAAAGAAAAACUAUUGACCUUCAAAGUCAAAAUUAGAAAUUACUCUAAUUCUUA
rnacentral:tRNA from 1 species